AUGGAGGAUCCUAUGGACAGGGAGGCCCAGGUUAUUCCCACAGCUCUUAUUCUGGAAACCAGGGAGGGUCUUCCUUCUCUCCUGGUGGAUCUUACGGACAGGGAGGGUCUUCUGUCAGUGAUAACGGCAGUGAAUCCUAUGGUCAGGAUGGAUCUUCUGCAUAUGGUGGCACUGCAUCUUAUGGUCAGGAUUCACCUUCCAUGGGAGUUAGUGAAUCUGAUUACAGUGAUUCUACCUCACCAUCUUACAACCGUCAGAGUGAACGGGAUUUUUAUUCCCCUGGAGGCAGCCAGUCAGGUGGACAUGGAUUAUCUUCUCAAGGUGGUGGCUAUUCUGGUGGACAGGGCUCAUUCUCAUCAGGAACCAACCAAUAUGGUGGGCAGGUGGGAAAUUUUUCUUUUCUUUUUUUUAAUCUCCCCCAGUACAUGUUUCAAGAAAAUAUUGUAG
rnacentral:lncRNA from 1 species